rnacentral:lncRNA from 10 species
UACCCAAGCAAGCCUGGGCAAUGGCGGGCGCCCCUCCCCCAGCCUUGCUGCGGCCUUGCAGUUUGAUCUCAGACUGCUGUGCUAGCAAUCAGCGAGACUCCGUGGGCGUAGGACCCUCCUAGCCAGGUGCAAGAUAUAAUCUCGCGGUGCGCCGUUUUUUAAGCCGGUCCGAAAGCGCAAUAUUCGGGUGGGAGAGACCCGAUUUUCCAGUGAGAUGAACCCAGUACCUCAGAUGGAAAUGCAGAAAUCACCCGUCUUCUGCGUCGCUCACGCUGGGAGCUGUAGACCGGAGCUGUUGCUAUUCGGCCAUCUUGGCUCCUCUCCUGCACUGCAAGAAUGGACUAAUACGCUAUGUGAAGACAAAGGGGAUGUCUGCAAGCCAGGACGAGUGCGUCUACCAGAAACUGAGUUCUGCUGGACUUUGAUCUAGGACAUCCAGCCUCCAGAAUGGAAUGUGCCAUAUGUGGAGACCUGCAUGGAAAGGAACUGAGGAUGCUCUCUCACUAAAAGCUAGAAGGAACUGAGGCCCUCAGUCAACAGUCUACAAGACACUGAAUCUUGCCAGCAGCCAAGCAGUGAGCUUGAAAGCAGAUCUAUCAUCAGCUGAACCUUCAGAUGAGACCGCAGCCUAAGCAGAUACCUUGGUUGCAGCCAUGUGAGACAACCUGAAACAGAGGGCACAGCUAAGCCUCAGCCAGGUUCAUGACCCUCUGAGGAAACUAUGGAGAGAGGGGAACCCGAGUCAAGGAAUGCAAAUGGCCUCUGGAAGCUGGAAAAAGCAAGAAAUGGAUUCUCCUUUAGAGCCUGUGGAAUAAAAUGCAGUCAUGCUGACACCUUGAUUUUACCUCAGUGAGACCAAUACUGGAGUAUGACCUUCGGAGCUGAAUAAAAUUAUACGUACACAUCUUAAUUUCUUGGGAUUUGAUUACUUCUUCUGCUUUGAAAUUAGACCAAGUUUAGCCUGCCUUUGCUAUUUUGGCGUAUCUCCAAUUCUUCAUGAUUUUCUCAUUGUUGCCUCCAUAUGAUGCAAAAUAUCCAACCUAGCCCUGACAUGAAAACUUAAUUGAAAGUAUCCAACAGUGGAGAUGGGGUUGCACUAUGCUGCCUGAGCUGGUCUGGAACUCCUGGGCUGUAAUGAUCCUCUGGCCUCCUCAGCCUCCCAAAAUGUUGGGAUUACAG